AUUGAACGCUGGCGGCAGGCCUAACACAUGCAAGUCGGACGGUAGCACAGAGAGCUUGCUCUCGGGUGACGAGUGGCGGACGGGUGAGUAAUGUCUGAGGAUCUGCCCGAUAGAGGGGGAUAACCACUGGAAACGGUGGCUAAUACCGCAUAACGUCGCAAGACCAAAGAGGGGGACCUUCGGGCCUCUCACUAUCGGAUGAACCCAGAUGGGAUUAGCUAGUAGGCGGGGUAAUGGCCCACCUAGGCGACGAUCCCUAGCUGGUCUGAGAGGAUGACCAGCCACACUGGAACUGAGACACGGUCCAGACUCCUACGGGAGGCAGCAGUGGGGAAUAUUGCACAAUGGGCGCAAGCCUGAUGCAGCCAUGCCGCGUGUAUGAAGAAGGCCUUCGGGUUAUAAAGUACUUUCAGCGGGGAGGAAGGCGGUGCGGUUAAUAACCGCGCCGAUUGACGUUACCCGCAGAAGAAGCACCGGCUAACUCCGUGCCAGCCGCCGCAGUAA
rnacentral:rRNA from 1 species